GGGGAUUUAGCUCAGUGGUAGAGCGCUUGCCUAGCAAGCGCAUGGUCCUGGGCCUGAUCCCCA
rnacentral:tRNA from 1 species